UGCUGCGCAGUAGUGAAAGAGUUCGUGCGAGAAAGAGAAGGUCUUGUGCUGGUGACCUGUGGUGGUACGAACGAGAGAGAGACUGAUAGUGCUUGUGUGGAGAGAGAUGAAGACGAGCGAGAGCGAGAGCAGGUGACAAGUUUAGCGGAACGGAGACUGCGGCUGGAAUCGCGAGAGAGAAGGCUGCGAGUGCGCAGUUGACCAGACAAAGAUGGCGCGAGAUCAAUAUCUACGAAAAUCAAUUCUACUAUUGUACAUCGAUUGCAAAUUCCAAAGAUGCCAGAACUUCAACGUCCAUCCGUUCGAUCUUCCAAUCGUAAACAGCAACUUCCGAUUCGCAUGCCAAACCGGAGGUAUUUGGAAGACUAGUGGAGCUUAGAGGGAUAUAACUGUUUCGAUUCACACGAGUCUUUUGAAUGGCGAGUCGAUAUUCACGGUAAAGAAACUCGAGCAUUUAUCAAUGUUUCUGAAAAAAGGUAAGUCUUGGCGAGCACAAUAUGUACAGAAAUAAUCUCGCGGUCGCGCUCCUCGACACAUUCAUACUUUAUCGUAAGUAUCCGCGACCCGUGCAAUCAAGAAAGUGUGACGGUAGCGGGAAAUGCUCGCAGAUAUAAACGAGAACAGGGACGCGAAUACAGAGCGAAGCGAAGUGAAUGCGAGGUGGAGAAGGAGGAGGAGAAGGGAAAGGUUGUGCAGGAAAAGAAGGAGAUGCGCGGUAGAAUUUUUCGUAGGGUAAGUGCGAUGUAUCACGAGGUAGUAAAUUCAGAUAGCCGACUUUUCCCAGAGAAAUUAUAAUUUUCCUUCUCGUAAAGAGGAAAGGAGGAAGAGAGAGAGAGAGAGAGAAAGAGAGAGAUGACUCCAUGACGCUAAUGCGAGCGUACAUUAGGCGAGAAAAAUAGCCCAGGCUACGGGAACGAGGGAAUUUGUAUGAAGGCGAGACCGGCGCGCGGGUUAAUCGCCAGGAAAAUGGCGACAAUGGGUACUGUGGCGUGUAUUAAGAAUCAACGAUGCUGGUGAAUCAAGUCGAGGGAUGUCUUCGUUAUGCGUCGAGCAAGGCGUUUAUUCUUAAUUUAGCUAUAAAGCUAAAGCUGCGUUUAUUGCAGUUUUUUACAGCGAACGCGCUCUUCGAAAAGUAGAUAGAAAA